AAAGCGUGCGCAGGCGGUUAUAUAAGACAGAGGUGAAAUCCCCGGGCUCAACCUGGGAACUGCCUUUGUGACUGUAUGGCUAGAGUGUGUCAGAGGGGGGUAGAAUUCCACGUGUAGCAGUGAAAUGCGUAGAUAUGUGGAGGAAUACCGAUGGCGAAGGCAGCCCCCUGGGAUAACACUGACGCUCAUGCACGAAAGCGUGGGGAGCAAACAGGAUUAGAUACCCUUGU
rnacentral:rRNA from 1 species